GCCUGGAUGGCUCAGUUGGUUAAGCAUCUGACUUCCGCUCAGGUCACUAUCUCAUAGUUCGUGGGUUCAAGGCCCACGUCAGGCU
rnacentral:tRNA from 1 species